AUGGCGGCUUUGGCUGUGGGUCUAUCACUGUGUAACUAUGCUGAAGCUAACUUCGGCGAGGGCACCAGGCUUACAGUGCUAGAGGAUGGAUUCAAUAUCACCGCCCCCAAAGUGGCCAUCUUUCCCCCGUCAAAGCAGGAGAUCAAAGAGAAGAGGAAGGCCACCCUGGUGUGCCUGGUCACAGAUUUCUACCCUGACCACAUCAAGCUGGUUUGGCGGGUGAACGAUGUUGAGAGGAAAGAGGGGGUGAGGACAGAUGAAUCUAUCAUGGACAAAACAUCAAAAUCAUACUCGCUGACCAGCCGCCUGAGGAUCUCACACCAGGAAUUUUCCAACUCCAAGAAUAGAUUCCAGUGCUUUGUUGAGUUCUACGGGAAUAACACGCAAAGAUAUGAUGAAGUCAUCCAUGGUGCAGCUGGUUGCAGUGUCUCAGAAGAGUCAUAUCUGAGAAGUGCCAUGGCAGGCAAGAGUGUGUAUGUUCUGCUCAUUUUCAAGAGUGCCUUGUAUGGGGUCUUUGUGAUGGGGCUAAUGCUAAGGAACAAGAAAGUGCAGUAGAAGAAGCUGGCCUGAGGCGGAUGGCACAGCUGCCUGGCGAAAGAAGGAGCUGCAGCUGCAUUCGUUUUACAAGUCCUGAUUUGUUUCAGAAAUCAGCACAGCACUUAGGCUUUUGUUACAAUAAAUGUACAAAGACCGCAAUUUGGGGUUGUCUGGCUGUAUUUGCUUGUUUGAAACAGCAGCUUUUAAUAAACAUUUAUGGAAUCCUUAA